GACGAACGCUGGCGGCGUGCUUAACACAUGCAAGUCGAGCGGUAAGGCCCUUUCGGGGGUACGACGAGCGGCGAACGGGUGAGUAACACGUGGGUGACCUGCCCUCAGCUCUGGGAUAAGCCUGGGAAACUGGGUCUAAUACCGGAUAUGACUCCAUGACGCAUGUUGUGGGGUGGAAAGCCUUGUGCGGCUGAGGAUGGGCCCGCGGCCUAUCAGCUUGUUGGUGGGGUGANGGCCUACCAAGGCGACGACGGGUAGCCGGCCUGAGAGGGCGACCGGCCACACUGGGACUGAGACACGGCCCAGACUCCUACGGGAGGCAGCAGUGGGGAAUCUUGCGCAAUGGGCGAAAGCCUGACGCAGCGACGCCGCGUGAGGGAUGACGGCCU
rnacentral:rRNA from 1 species